rnacentral:rRNA from 2 species
AGGUUAAGUUAACAAGGGCGCAUGGUGAAUGCCUUGGCACUAGGAGCCGAUGAAGGACGGGACUAACACCGAUAUGCUUCGGGGAGCUGUACGUAAGCUAUGAUCCGGAGAUUUCCGAAUGGGGCAACCCAGCAGUUUUAAUCAACUGUUACCACUAGAUGAAUUCAUAGUCUAGUUGGAGGUAAACGCUGUGAACUGAAACAUCUCAUUAGCAGCAGGAAUAUAAAGAAAUUUCGAUUCCCUAAGUAGCGGCGAGCGAACGGGGAACAGCCCAAACCAAAGUGCUUGCACUUUGGGGUUGUAGGACUGAACAUUUGAGUUACCAAAGAACUUGAUAGUCGAAGGAUUUGGGAAAAUCCGCCAUAGAUGGUGAUAGCCCAGUAGAUUAAAUCAAAUUCUCUCAGUUCAGGAUCCUGAGUACGGCGGAACACGUGAAAUUCCGUCGGAAUCCGGGAGGACCAUCUCCCAAGGCUAAAUACUACCUAGUGACCGAUAGUGAACCAGUACCGUGAGGGAAAGGUGAAAAGCACCCCGGGAGGGGAGUGAAAUAGUUCCUGAAACCAUGUGCCUACAAUAAGUCAGAGCGCGUUAAUGCGUGAUGGCGUGCCUUUUGUAGAAUGAACCGGCGAGUUAUGAUCCCGUGCAAGGUUAAGACUAAAAAGUCGGAGCCGUAGCGAAAGCGAGUCUGAAAUGGGCGUUUUGAGUACGAGGUUAUAGACCCGAAACCAGGUGACCUAUCCAUGUCCAGGUUGAAGGUGCGGUAAAACGCACUGGAGGACCGAACCCGUGUAAGUUGAAAAUUGCUGGGAUGAGGUGUGGAUAGCGGUGAAAUUCCAAACGAACUUGGAGAUAGCUGGUUCUCUCCGAAAUAGCUUUAGGGCUAGCCUCGGAAUUAGGAUCAUGGAGGUAGAGCACUAUUUGGACUAGGGGCCCGUCUUGGGUUACUGAAUUCAGAUAAACUCCGAAUGCCAUUGAUUCAUAUCCGGGAGUCAGACGAUGAGUGAUAAGAUCCACCGUCGAAAGGGGAACAGCCCAGACCAUCAGUUAAGGUCCCUAAAUGUAUGCUAAGUGGAAAAGGAUGUGGAGUUGCAUAGACAACUAGGAUGUUGGCUCAGAAGCAGCCACCAUUUAAAGAGUGCGUAAUAGCUCACUAGUCGAGUGAUCCUGCGCCGAAAAUGUACCGGGGCUAAGCAUACUACCGAAACCAUGGAUGCGACCAUUAGGUCGCGUGAUAGGAGAGCGUUCUAAGGGCGGUGAAGCAAGAUCGUGAGGACUUGUGGAGCGCUUAGAAGUGAGAAUGCCGGUAUGAGUAGCGAAAGAUAGGUGAGAAUCCUAUCCACCGAAUGACUAAGGUUUCCUGGGGAAGGCUCGUCCUCCCAGGGUUAGUCGGGACCUAAGUCGAGGCCGAGAGGCGUAGACGAUGGAUAACAGGUUGAGAUUCCUGUACUAGUUAAGUGCGUUUGAGCAAUGGAGGGACGCAGGAGGCUAAGAUGUGCAUUCUGUUGGAUUAGAAUGUCCAAGCAGUAAGUCUUGUGAAGAGUCAAAUGCUUUCACUUUAAGGACAAGCUGUGAUGGGGAGCGAAAUUUAGUAGCGAAGCGUCUGAUGUCACACUGCCGAGAAAAGCUUCUAGUGAGUACUUAACUACCCGUACCGCAAACCGACACAGGUAGUCGAGGAGAGAAUCCUAAGGUGAGCGAGUGAACUCUCGUUAAGGAACUCGGCAAAAUGACCCCGUAACUUCGGGAGAAGGGGUGCUGAUCGCAAGAUCAGCCGCAGUGAAUAGGCCCAGGCGACUGUUUAUCAAAACACAGGUCUCUGCAAAAUCGUAAGAUGACGUAUAGGGGCUGACGCCUGCCCGGUGCUGGAAGGUUAAAAGGAUGGGUUAGCUUCGGCGAAGCUCAGAAUUGAAGCCCCAGUAAACGGCGGCCGUAACUAUAACGGUCCUAAGGUAGCGAAAUUCCUUGUCGGGUAAGUUCCGACCCGCACGAAAGGCGUAACGAUCUGGGCACUGUCUCAACGAGAGACUCGGUGAAAUUAUAUUGUCCGUGAAGAUGCGGACUACCCGCGACAGGACGGAAAGACCCCAUGGAGCUUUACUGUAGCUUGAUAUUGAGUGUUUGUACAGCUUGUACAGGAUAGGUAGGAGCCAUAGAAACCGGAACGCUAGUUUCGGUGGAGGCGUUGGUGGGAUACUACCUCGCUGUAUGACCACUCUAACCCGCACCACUAAUCGUGGUGGGAGACAGUGUCAGGUGGGCAGUUUGACUGGGGCGGUCGCCUCCUAAAAAGUAACGGAGGCGCCCAAAGGUUCCCUCAGAAUGGUUGGAAAUCAUUCGCAGAGUGUAAAGGCACAAGGGAGCUUGACUGCGAGACAGACAGGUCGAGCAGGGACGAAAGUCGGGCUUAGUGAUCCGGUGGUACCGUAUGGAAGGGCCAUCGCUCAACGGAUAAAAGCUACCCUGGGGAUAACAGGCUUAUCUCCCCCAAGAGUCCACAUCGACGGGGAGGUUUGGCACCUCGAUGUCGGCUCAUCGCAUCCUGGGGCUGUAGUCGGUCCCAAGGGUUGGGCUGUUCGCCCAUUAAAGCGGUACGCGAGCUGGGUUCAGAACGUCGUGAGACAGUUCGGUCCCUAUCCGUCGCGGGCGUAGGAAAUUUGAGAGGACCUGUCCUUAGUACGAGAGGACCGGGAUGGACAUACCUCUGGUGUACCAGUUGUGCCGCCAGGCGCAUCGCUGGGUAGCUACGUAUGGAUGUGAUAAACGCUGAAAGCAUCUAAGUGUGAAACACACCUCGAGAUGAGAUUUCCCAUUCCUUUAUGGAAGUAAGACCCCUGAAAGAUGAUCAGGUAGAUAGGUUAGAAGUGGCAGUGCGGUGACGCAUGAAGCGGACUAAUACUAAUCGGUCGAGGACUUAACCAAG